AUUGAACGCUGGCGGCAUGCCUUACACAUGCAAGUCGAACGGCAGCACGGGGGCAACCCUGGUGGCGAGUGGCGAACGGGUGAGUAAUGCAUCGGAACGUGUCCUCUUGUGGGGGAUAACCAGUCGAAAGAUUGGCUAAUACCGCAUGAGAUCGAGAGAUGAAAGCGGGGGACCCGAGGGCAACUUCGGGCCUCGCGCGAGAGGAGCGGCCGAUGCCGGAUAGCUAGUUGGUGGGGUAAAAGCCUACCAAGGCGACGAUCCGUAGCUGGUCUGAGAGGACGACCAGCCACACUGGGACUGAGACACGGCCCAGACUCCUACGGGAGGCAGCAGUGGGAAUUUUGGACAAUGGGCGCAAGCCUGAUCCAGCCAUGCCGCGUGUGCGAAGAAGGCC
rnacentral:rRNA from 1 species